AAUACAUCACCGGCGGACGGGUGCGUAACGCGUGGGAAUGUACCUAUUGGUUCGGAACAACUGAGGGAAACUUCAGCUAAUACCGGAUGAGCCCGAAAGGGGAAAGAUUCUCGCCAAUGGAUCAGCCCGCGUCCGAUUAGCUAGUUGGUGGGGUUAUGGCCUACCAAGGCAACGAUCGGUAGCUGUUCUGAGAGGAAGAUCAGCCACACUGGGACUGAGACACGGCCCAG
rnacentral:rRNA from 1 species